rnacentral:lncRNA from 1 species
UGGUCUGUCUAGGUCAUUUGAUGUUACGGCUGGGGUACUACAGGGGGAAACUUUAAGCCCAUUACUUUUUUCCUUAUUUAUUGCGGAUAUUGAAACAUUCUUCUACGGAAAUGGUGCUCGAGGUGUAAGCAUUGAUUCAAAAAAUGAAAUUCUGCUACUCCUGUAUGCUGAUGACCUAGUUAUAUUAGCUGACUCUGAAGCAGAUGUUGGAAGAAAACUAAAAUUACUUGAAUCCUACACUAAAUCCAACGAUCUCACUCUUAAUACCACAAAAACAAAAAUACUCAUAUUUUCAAAAGGCCAUACCACAAACAAGAUUAAUUUUUUUUACAACAAUAAUCCAGUGAUCUCAACCAAUGCAUACAACUAUUUGGGAGUGACAUUUACUAAAUCAUCACUUUUUCGCGAAAUGUCGUAUACAACCAUCGAUAAAGCCAAGCAAGCAGUUGGAUCAAUUCUUCCAAUUUUAACAUCUAGUAAAAUAGACUCGUGGUCACCAAGAAUCAAACUCUUUGAGUCACUGGCAUUGAGUGUGAUGUCAAACUGCGCUCCCGUUUGGGCACUUAGAUACACUGAAGCUCUCGAAAAAGUACAAACUACUUAUUUAAAACGAAUUCUGUUACUCCCAAAAAACACCCCUGACUAUGCAACGCGGUUAGAAACGGGACGUGUAAAAUAUUCGUAUAAUCUUUUUAAAAUGACUUUGAGUUGGUUACAAAAAA